rnacentral:snRNA from 1 species
GUGCUCGCUUCAGCAGCACAUAAACUAAAAUUGAAACGAUACAGAGAAUAUUCACAGGAAUCGUGUGCAAGGAUGACACACAGAUUCACGGAGCGUUUCGUUUUU